GGUGGGGUGGCAGAGCGGUUGAAUGCACCGGUCUUGAAAACCGGCGUGGCCCCUUGGGUCACCGUGGGUUCGAAUCCCACCCCCACCG
rnacentral:tRNA from 1 species